rnacentral:rRNA from 1 species
UACGGGGGGGGCAAGCGUUGUUCGGAAUUACUGGGCGUAAAGGGCGCGUAGGCGGUUUGCUAAGUUGGAUGUGAAAACUCUGGGCUUAACCCAGAGCCUGCAUCCAAAACUGGCAAACUUGAGUACUGGAGGGGAAAGCGGAAUUCCUGGUGUAGCGGUGAAAUGCGUAGAUAUCGGGAGGAACACCAGUGGCGAAGGCGACUUCCUGGCCUGUUCUUGACGCUGAGGCGCGAAAGCUAGGGGAGCAAACGGG